rnacentral:snRNA from 1 species
AUACCUUUUUCGGCCUUUUGGCUAAGAUCAAGUGUAGUAUCUGUUCUUAUCAGUUUAAUAUCUGAUAAUGACUCACUAGAUAUUAACUCAAUUUUUUCAGAGGAAAGGCUCGUUAAGGCCAGCUUGCUGCCUGGACCUUUGAGCAUCGUCUUGGUUUUGCACUAUAGCCGAGUCCUGGUGCACCCCAC